GCCCCCGUAGCCAAGAUGGUAAGGGAGACACCCCAUAAGCGGGAGGUCCCGAGUUCGAACCUCGAGGUGGGAA